GUUUGGAAUAGCGGAGGUGCAACCAAUCCAGAUUCAUUGUGCUAUCUCGACCUAACAGGUGGUCUUUUGGUUGAGGACUUCUCUCCUUCCUGCAGGUUCUCAGAGAUGGAAGGUGUCUUAGAGGCGGUGAGACCAACUGCCCACACAGUGUGGUCGCCCAUCUAUGCCACACCCAAAAAUGGUCAGUGUCAGCUGGAUCCACUCCACAAUUUGGUCAGCUGUGUUUCCAAGGAGCCCUUCUUGUACUGAGUGGUUUCUCCUUGUAGCUCUCAGCCAUGGGUCCUAGUUCCGCCAUUUGAAGCCGCGCAUAGCAAAUGUGGCCCUUCUCCGUAUUCUCUCAGAUGUUUGAGGGCAGCAUUAGACAUUUCUUCUUCCGGCUCUCUUUCAGCCGGCCCCUCCAGACGAUGGCCAUUCCUGUUGCCUUGGUCCGCAGGAACGAUGGGUUAUGCAUGAACUUUGUAGAACAUGGCCUUGUCUUCACCAACGCGGAGGAGAGCCCGUUCGGUUCCAGAGAGGAUGCUGCCUCAUCUCGUCUCUAAAAGAGGAGGAAGGGGAGCAGGUCCCUUCACGUUCUCUGGUCUCAGCUGAGAACUCUCCCUGGAAGUAGCGGGCCGUGAAAUGUUUCACAAGGUAGCAUCUCCCUCUAGUGGCCACCAUGGUCUAUUUCAAGAUGCUUUCCUCCCUUCCCCUGGCCCUCGCUUCUCAAGGUUUUUUUUUUUUUUUUUUUUCCCCCACCUCAAAAAGAUCCACUGAGAUGUGACAGGGUGAGCUGUAGAUUGCAAAGUCCCCUAUCUGGCCUUCUGACUAAAAUGAACUGAUUCUGCAAUGGUGACUGGUGAGACAGAACUCAGAUUCAAUUUCUAUGUUUCUCAUGAUUAUCCUAAGCCAAAAUUUGCAAAUGGUUAUACACAUGUUAAUU
rnacentral:lncRNA from 10 species